UUUGUCGAUUUUUUGAACAUCUACUUCUACAACUUCUUUUGCUAGAGAGUAAGAUAAUUCACCAUCUACUUGCACAAGAAAUGGAUCAAAAUCAUCAUAUACAAAAAUAAUGAAUUAAUUGAAUUUAAUUAACAUUAAUUAAGAAGUCAAUAUAGGGAUCUAAAAUAAAUAAUUAAAUAGGAUGAAGAUUGAUCAGCAUGCAACUCACGUGAAUAAAGAAACUCGAUGGCUCUGGCGGCUGUGCAAAUCAAUUCUGAUUCCAGAAAUUUGGAAACUUUGACUUGAAUCAAGCUGUGCAAUAAAGAAACUCGAUGGCUCUGGCGGCUGUGCAAAUCAUUUCUGAUUCCUGAAAUUUGGAAACUUUGACUUGAAUCAAGCUGUGCAAUCACCGAACAAAGUUUUCUGCCUCUAAAAUCUGAUUACACAGCUUUAAUCAUUUUUCUUUUGGUAGUUUUAAAGUAGGGUCAACCGUAUGCAUGGUGUUAUCACAUGCAUCCGACGGUUUAUUUGUCUGCUCUACGUUGGAGAUGUUCCAACGUAGCUGCUGCCUUUUAACUAUUAUAGAAAGUUAAAAAC
rnacentral:lncRNA from 1 species